rnacentral:rRNA from 1 species
GAUGAACGCUGGCGGCGUGCCUAAUACAUGCAAGUCGAGCGAAGCGGGGACGGGUGUGAAACACGUGGAUAACCUCCUAUAAGACUGGGGUUACCUCGGGAAACCGGAGCUUAACCCGCUACUUAUAGAUGGUUCCGCGUUGCAUUAGCUAGUUGGUAAGGUAACGGCUAACAAAGGCAACGAUCCAUAGCCGACCUGAGAGGGGGAUCAGCCACACUGGAACUGUGACACGGGCCAGACUCCUACGUGAGGCAGCAGUAGGGAAGCUUCCGCAAUGGGCGAAAGCCUGACGGAGCAACGCCGCGUGAGUGAAGAAGGUCUUCGGAUCGUAAAACUCUGUUAUUAGGGAGGCGGUACCUAAUCAGAAAGCCACGGCUAACUACGUGCCAGCAGCCGCGGUAAUUC